rnacentral:tRNA from 1 species
UCCGGGAUCGUCUAACGGCAGGACGUCAGGCUCUGAACCUGGAAAUCGGGGUUCGAAUCCCUGUCCCGGAA